rnacentral:rRNA from 1 species
CAGUAGCCGCGGUAAUACGGAGGGAGCUAGCGUUGUUCGGAAUUACUGGGCGUAAAGCGCGCGUAGGCGGUUACUCAAGUCAGAGGUGAAAGCCCGGGGCUCAACCCCGGAACUGCCUUUGAAACUAGGUGACUAGAAUCUUGGAGAGGUCAGUGGAAUUCCGAGUGUAGAGGUGAAAUUCGUAGAUAUUCGGAAGAACACCAGUGGCGAAGGCGACUGACUGGACAAGUAUUGACGCUGAGGUGCGAAAGCGUGGGGAGCAAACAGGAUUAGAUACCCGUGUAGUCCCUGUCUCUUAUAC